GCGUUGGAUGGCCGGUUGCUCCUGCCCUAGAUUAUCCUCAUGCCCGGCCGCGGUACAACAGCAACAUCCAUGAAACCCCUUCGUGUCGUGCCCUCGAUGUGCUCGAUGAAAUACCGCAGCGAGCUCCGCCCCGAAUCUGCGCAACCCUGGCCUUGUUGUCGACCUCAGUAUGCUAGAUGAUUAUGUGAAUUGGAGGGCAUGGAUCAGGAUGGAUCACAAGGUGGCUUUGAUGAACCCAUCUCGAUAGGGACGACUUGAUCAAGUGUCAGGAUUGUUGAUGCUCACCAAGCGGACGUCAUCUAACCACACUAACCUAGUGUAUCCCAGGCAAGCCCCAGUGCAUUUGCCACCUCCUUGUUGUUAUAAAAUUUUUAUCACUUAUAUGCUGCAUUAGGUGAUAGGAGUUGAGUGAUGAAACACUUGAUGCAUUGCCAUUCCUUGGAAUUUGAUUACCUUCCUUGCUACCUGUUUUACAAAGAGAACUAAUGAGACUUAGCUCUGCUUAGAAAAACUAAAAGUUGUUUCUU
rnacentral:lncRNA from 1 species